CCCUUUUUUUUCUUUGUUUUAAAUUAAAAAAAAAAUUCAAUUCGUCGUUUCACCCUCAUCUAUUCAUCUAUCUGUACAUUUGUUAUCGCUUUCAGUUCUCUUCUAUAAGUUAUGCUGCAUAUAUCUACGUUGAAAAAUCUUAAAUAUAUAGGUACAUCUUAUCAUUUGUGCACCGUUCCACCGUACGAUAAAUCAGAAACUCAGAAUUAUUGAGAUGCAGAAUUCACUCGAUCGAGUGUAUUGCGUGUGUAAAACCAGCUUCGAAAAGUUAAAUAUAAAACGUUAGUCGCACUAUCUCCAGUGGCCCACUUGCUCGAGCCACUUGCUUUCUUAAUUUGCCGUGUAUCUUAACCAUCGGUAGAUGGUAGAAUACGUUAUAACAUUACACUGCACGGUCUACCGCCGAAUUAUAACUCAUUUGUAUAAUGUAGCGCGAAAAAAUGAAGUGAACUUGUGAGUGAUAAUGAGAAUAAUUGCCGAUAGGGACGAGAAGAAGAUCGGUCGUCGACGUCGUAGUUGACCGCAUUAUCGGAAUUAGAAUCCUGAGAACUUUCUUCCUCGGAUGUUAAAUCUCCUGACAUUUCAACCCUAGUUGCGAUGACUUUUUCAAAAUCGUUGCAACAAUUGACCGGAAGUGAACGAUCCUCGUCCUUAUCCUCCUGCUGCAGAACAAAGUUACCCCUCCAAGACGAGGAAGGUCCAGUUUUUCGAUUAUCAGC